AAAUUGAAGAGUUUGAUCAUGGCUCAGAUUGAACGCUGGCGGCAGGCCUAACACAUGCAAGUCGAGCGGUAGCACAGAGAGCUUGCUCUCGGGUGACGAGCGGCGGACGGGUGAGUAAUGUCUGGGAAACUGCCUGAUGGAGGGGGAUAACUACUGGAAACGGUAGCUAAUACCGCAUAAUGUCGCAAGACCAAAGUGGGGGACCUUCGGGCCUCAUGCCAUCAGAUGUGCCCAGAUGGGAUUAGCUUGUAGGUGGGGUAACGGCUCACCUAGGCGACGAUCCCUAGCUGGUCUGAGAGGAUGACCAGCCACACUGGAACUGAGACACGGUCCAGACUCCUACGGGAGGCAGCAGUGGGGAAUAUUGCACAAUGGGCGCAAGCCUGAUGCAGCCAUGCCGCGUGUGUGAAGAAGGCCUUCGGGUUGUAAAGCACUUUCAGCGGGGAGGAAGGCGGUGAGGUUAAUAACCUCAUCGAUUGACGUUACCCGCAGAAGAAGCACCGGCUAACUCCGUGCCAGCAGCCGCGGUAAUACGGAGGGUGCAAGCGUUAAUCGGAAUUACUGGGCGUAAAGCGCACGCAGGCGGUCUGUCAAGUCGGAUGUGAAAUCCCCGGGCUCAACCUGGGAACUGCAUUCGAAACUGGCAGGCUAGAGUCUUGUAGAGGGGGGUAGAAUUCCAGGUGUAGCGGUGAAAUGCGUAGAGAUCUGGAGGAAUACCGGUGGCGAAGGCGGCCCCCUGGACAAAGACUGACGCUCAGGUGCGAAAGCGUGGGGAGCAAACAGGAUUAGAUACCCUGGUAGUCCACGCCGUAAACGAUGUCGAUUUGGAGGUUGUGCCCUUGAGGCGUGGCUUCCGGAGCUAACGCGUUAAAUCGACCGCCUGGGGAGUACGGCCGCAAGGUUAAAACUCAAAUGAAUUGACGGGGGCCCGCACAAGCGGUGGAGCAUGUGGUUUAAUUCGAUGCAACGCGAAGAACCUUACCUGGUCUUGACAUCCACAGAACUUAGCAGAGAUGCUUUGGUGCCUUCGGGAACUGUGAGACAGGUGCUGCAUGGCUGUCGUCAGCUCGUGUUGUGAAAUGUUGGGUUAAGUCCCGCAACGAGCGCAACCCUUAUCCUUUGUUGCCAGCGGUCCGGCCGGGAACUCAAAGGAGACUGCCAGUGAUAAACUGGAGGAAGGUGGGGAUGACGUCAAGUCAUCAUGGCCCUUACGACCAGGGCUACACACGUGCUACAAUGGCAUAUACAAAGAGAAGCGACCUCGCGAGAGCAAGCGGACCUCAUAAAGUAUGUCGUAGUCCGGAUUGGAGUCUGCAACUCGACUCCAUGAAGUCGGAAUCGCUAGUAAUCGUAGAUCAGAAUGCUACGGUGAAUACGUUCCCGGGCCUUGUACACACCGCCCGUCACACCAUGGGAGUGGGUUGCAAAAGAAGUAGGUAGCUUAACCUUCGGGAGGGCGCUUACCACUUUGUGAUUCAUGACUGGGGUGAAGUCGUAACAAGGUAACCGUAGGGGAACCUGCGGUUGGAUCACCUCCUUACC
rnacentral:rRNA from 1 species